CACGUAGGGGGCAAGCGUUGUCCGGAUUUAUUGGGCGUAAAGAGCUCGUAGGUGGUUCGGUAAGUCGGGUGUGAAACCUCCAGGCUCAACCUGGAGACGCCACCCGAUACUGCUGUGACUGGAGUCCGGUAGGGGAGCGUGGAAUUCCUGGUGUAGCGGUGAAAUGCGCAGAUAUCAGGAGGAACACCGGUGGCGAAGGCGGGUCUCUGGGCCGAUACUGACGCUGAGGAGCGAAAGCGUGGGGAGCGAACAGG
rnacentral:rRNA from 1 species